UCCCGGCUAGCUCAGCUGGUAGAGCGUCAGACUCUUAUACGGAGCCUCUGCGGAUGAUCGCAGAAUCAAAAAUCUGAAUGUCGUGGGUUCGAGCCCCACGUUGGGAG
rnacentral:tRNA from 1 species